rnacentral:lncRNA from 1 species
AACAAUUCCUUAUUUCAAAAAGAUAUGCACACAUUUUCCAAAACAACCAAUCGUUGUUCCAACCUAACCCUCAAAAAAAGAAAACAGAAAAUCAACGGCCAACAAGUUUACAUAAUUCAAACAAUUUCAAUACGGCAGAACUGAAACUCUGAAAACAAAAUUAGUAAUCGUGCAACCCCCAAAAAAUUUUGGAUAGUUAAAGGAGAAAGCCAAACAAAAUAGAAUUGACCGUAUAAUUGUAUGUAAAUUUAUCAGUGCAACAAAGAAGACCGCAAUUAACGGAAAACGGAGGAGAAGUUGAGAAAAUAUUAAAUAUGAAGAAAGAAACUGUAGAAGCAAGUCGUUGAGCUUGAUAUAACUGGGAGAAUUUGAUAGCAAACUAAAAUUACGCCGGGGGCAAAUAGGUUAACACGUGUCUGACUCACGCUAUUAUGUGGUGCAAUGAUAAAUCAAAAGAGAUAUAGUAAUUAUCCGACAACAUUCAGCCAGCUGACGACUACUCUCCUAAGCUAAUUCUCCAAAGUACCUUACGACCCGAAGCUUCUGUCGUUAGUGACUUAUUUAAAAGUAGUAAAGUAAUAUAAGUGAGACCUUUUUAGCAAAAGUUCGUCAACAAUUUAUACUAUUUCUUGCAAAUAUGUUAAUUUUCUUAUUUCUUUCUGUGACCAAAAGAAUAUGUGAGGCACCGAGCUUAAUUGGGUAUAUGAACGAGAGAAAAUUGUGCACUUAACUCUACAUAUAAGCAUGCAAAAUAUUUUAAACAAAUGGAUACUCGGUGCCAAAUAAGUACAAUUAGACGCAAUAGAAAUAAUAAUAAGUAAUAUAGUGUGACCGUUCUGUUUAAAUCUCAUAAACAUGUCUAUUAAAAAGAAAAGAAGGAACUACAACGCUGAGAUUGAAUCUAACAUUAAAUGGAAAAUGUUCACUUUGUCCCUGUGUUAUUCGGAAAUUUCUCAAUUUCACCUUUUGUUAUACUUUUGUUAUUUUAUUUAUACCUUUAUUUUUAUUAAAUAAUCGUGUAUUUGUUUUUGUCAUUAGCAUGAAAAAGGCGAACUCUACGUUUAUAAAAAAAUUGAAUUGCCCAAAUUUACAUCUCAACUUUUGCCUAAUUACCCUAAGGUUCAAGCGGCAUUCGGGGUCAAGGGUACAAAUAAGUUUUUUUUCAUAGUGAUAGAGUAAUAUUAGAUUAUGUAUUGGUCAAAAUAUAACUGUUGCAGUCAAUAUGACCACUAUCCUGUCCAAGCGAUAAGGCAUCGAAAGGCGACAUGAUCUGUUCUAAAUCAUGCACUCACAAUUCCCAUCGAGUCAUUACAAACAACAUUUAGGGGACGACCAAGACAGAGAGUGUGAGAGAGCGUCAAACCAAGUACAUAGCAAAGGUCCCAUGAUUAUAUAUAGGAGGGGAAAACCUUCGGGAGAAGAGGGGCAGUUUUUCAUUUCUUCCUCUCUCCCUAGUCCUCUCCCCUAUAAUCUUCAUAAUGAGAAGAAGAACGCAGAACUCUCUAAGGAAAUAUGUAAAAGGUUUAUAACAACUAGGUCGGGAAUCCAAACUAGAAUAAGAAUAACAAUAAGGAAUUGAACAACUAGAAUUAAAUAGAUAAAAAGAAAGAAUAUAGGAAAAUCAGGGAAAGAAUUCCUAGAGCUUCUAAGAACGCACGAUCUAUAGCCUUGACAAGAUCAAAGUAACAACGUCUUAAUUUAUGGAAGAAAUCAAACGGCUUUACUUAAAAAGCAAAUCAAAACAACAGAUUCGGAUCUUGACCGCUUUACGAGUAACUUGAAACAAUAAUUAAUAACAAGUAUUAAUCGCCUUCUAAGAAUACCACAAAGGAAUCAAAGAUAUCAUAAAAGAGAAGAAAUCUUGCCACCUUGAACUAUGAACUACUAAACGUUGAAAGAUAAAUCUCAAAGCACAAGUAACAAAGGUUCAAAAGAACUCUCAAAGUAUGAUAUACUUAUUCAAUAAUAUUGUGUAUUAUCAAUAAGAAGAACUCCCUAUUUAUAGGAGAGUAAUAAGGCAUAAAAGUCCUUAAAAUUAGGGAGGGUGAUUGCUAAGGCAUCAAAGUCAUUACAAUUAGGUAGGAUGAUUGCUAAGGCAUCCAAAGUCAUAACAAUUAGGUAGGAUAAUUGCUAAGGUAUCCAAAGUCAUUACAAUUAGGUAGGGGGCGGCCAAGGCCCUUUGGGGCAUAUUUGGGACUUAAAACAACUAUUUUGGGCAAUUGGUUUUGACUCUAAUUGGGUUCCUUUUGUAACACUUCCUUUUGGACCUCUUUUAAGCUCAUUUUGGGCCCAUUUGAUGGAUUUCAAGGGCUGAUUUGGGUGAUCCAAUCCUCUUCUUCUUGGACUACAACUUGAGCCACCAAAUAAGUGUAAAACUUAGACAAUUCUUCUCCCUUGGGCUUGCCCACUUCGUAUAUAGUUAGAAGCUUCUUUAUUUGCCAUUGAAGUCCAGCAACCUUCGUCUGCAAUUCUUUAGCUUGAGAUCUUGUAUAUGUCCUUCUUGGAAUUUCCAAAACUCUAUCCUUAUCAGUUAUGCUAUCAUUACCCUCUUCUUGAAAAGAAUUUGUCCCCAAAUUCGAUCCUACGUCAAACAAAGACAAGUCAGCAAUAUUGAAUGUAGCACUUACUCGAAACUCACCAGGAAGAUCCAGCUUGUAAGCAUUGUCUCUAAUCCUUUCUAGGACUUGAAAGGGCCAUCUCCUCUAGGAUGCAGCUUUGACUUCCUUUUGGAAGGAAAUCUCUCCUUUCUAAAGUGAACCCAAACUAAAUCUCCAGGUUAAAAAAUAACUUUUUUUUGACCUUUAUUCUUUCUCAAGGUAGUUUGCUCAUUUUCUUCUCAAUUGCAAGCCAUGUUUGCUUAUGAACUUUUUUCCAUAACAUCAGCCUUUGUUCUACCAUCAAGAUUAGCAAUAUUAUUAGUUGGUAAUGGUAAUAAAUCAAGCAGGGUGAAGGGAUUAAAGCCAUAAACAACCUCAAAAAGCGACAUGCCUGUAGAAGAAUGAAUUGUUCUAUUGUAAGCAAAUUCAAUCAUAGGUGAGUGAUCUUUCCAUGAAGUUAACUUACCUUUCAAAACAGCCCUUAACAUGUUUCCUAAGGUUCUAUAAACUACUUCAGUUUGUCCAUCAGUUUGUGGGUGACAAAAAGUAGAAAACAACAAUUUAGUGCCUAACUUCCCCCAAAAUACACGCCAAAAAUUGAUAAAAAACUUAGCAUCCGUAUCACCAACAAUAGUUCUAGGUAUACCAUGAAAUUUGACAACCUCUUUUACAAAAAGAUUAGCAACAUGUGAAGCAUCAUUAGUCUUUAAACAAGGAGUAAAAUGAGCCAUUUUGGAGAACCUAUUUACCCAACAAAAAUACUAUCCUUACCAUACCUUGUUCUAGGCAACCCUAACACAAAAUCCAUAGAAAUAUCAAUCCAAGGUGAAGUAGGAACAUGUAAUGGAGUGUAAAGACCAUGUGGCAACACUUUAGAUUUAGCUUGUUUACAUUCCAAACACUUUGUGCACAUUCUUUCAACAUCUUUUCUCAUACCAGGCCAAAAGAAAUUCUCAACAAGUAUGUCUAAUGUCUUUGGGACUCAAAGGUGCCCCAUAUGGCCUCCACAUUGUGCUUCCCUUACAAAUAUUUCACGCAAAGAGCAAGGAAGUAGGAACAGGUAAUGGUGUGUAAAGACCAUGUGGUAUCACUUUAGAUUUAGCUUGUUUACAUUCCAAACACUGUGUGCACAUUCUUUCAACAUCUUUUCUCAUUCCAGGCCAAAAGAAAUUUUCAGCAAGUAUGUCUAAUGUGUUUGGGACUCCAAUGUGCCCCAAAAGGCCUCCACAAUGCGUUUCCCUUACAGAUUUUUCAAGCAAAGAGAAAUUAGAGAUACACAACUUAUUUUCCAUAAACAAUAACCCAUCUUAGAAGUUAAACCUCUCAAAAGGACUCAACUUACAAUCUGCAAAAUAUUUUCAAAAAUCAACAUCAUUAGCAUAAAGUCCCUUGAUUUGAUUAAAACCAAUCAAUUUAGAAGUCAGGGUAGAAACUAAGACAUACCUUCUUGAAAGUGCAUCAACAACAACAUUCUCUUUCCCUUUUGUUUGUAAGAAAUUACAUAAGAGAAAGUUUCAAUAAAUACAACACACUUAGCAUGCCUUCUACUAGGCUUACCUUGACUCUUUAAGUAUUUUAAGAAUUCAUGGUCAGUCUUAAUUACAAACUCUCUUGGCCACAAGUAAUGUUGCCAUGUGGCUAAAGCCCUUACCAAAACAUAUAGCCCUUUGUCAUAAGUAUAAUAGUUAAAUGUGGCUCCACUCAACUUCUCACUAAUGUAGGAAAUUGGUUUAGAAUCUUGCAUCAAAACAUCACCUAUUCCUUAUCCAGAAGCAUCACAUUCAAAUUCAAAAGAUUUAGAAAAAUCAGGCAAUUGUAACAAUGGAGCAGAGCAUACCUUUUCUUUCAACAAGUUAAAAGCAUCGUCUUGUUCUUUUGCCAUUUAAAAUUUUUAUCCUUUUUAAUAACUUCCGUUAAAGGAGAAGCAAUGGUGCUAAAGUCUCUCACAAACCUCCUAUAAAAACUAGCAAGUCCAUGAAAACUCCUAACUUCAGUUACACUCUUGGGUUUAGGCCAUUCAUUAUUGCUUUGAUUUUAUCUUCAUCAACCUUAACUCCUUUAGAACUAACUACAAAACCCAAGAAAAUCACACGAUCCACCCAAAAAGUACAGUUUUUAAGAUUAGCAAAUAAAAGUUGCUUUCUAAGAACUUCAAAAACUUGUAUUAGGUGUUCUACGUGCUCCUCCAAAGUGUUAGAAAAGAUCAAGACAUCAUCAAAGUACACCACAACAAAUUUCCCAUGAAAAUCCUUAAAGAUAUGAUUCAUUAACCUCAUAAAAAUGCUAUGUGCAUUAGUCAAGCCAAAAUGCAUAACUAACCAUUCAUAAAUCCCAAAUUUGGUCUUAAAAGCAGUUUUCCAUUAAUCUCCAGGAUUCAUUCGAAUAUGAUGGUGACCACUUUUGAGAUCAAUUUUAGUAAAGAUCUUGGAUCCAUGUAAUUGAUCCAACAUGUCAUCAAGACGAGGAAUAAGAAGACGAUACUUUAUCGUUAUCUUGUUGAUUGCUCUACAAUCCACACACAUCUUCCAAGUUCCAUCCUUUUUGGGUACCAAUAAGACGGGAACAGAACAAGGGCUCAUGCUCUCUCACAAAGCCUUUCUCAAGCAACUCCUCAACAUGCCUUUGAAGCUCUUUUGUCUCUUCUGGAUUACUCCCAUAAGCAGGCCUAUUUGGGAUUUGUGAUCCAGGCACAAAAUCAAUUUGAUGCAUAAUGCCACGUAAAGGUGGCAAUCCAAUAGGAAUAUCUUUAGGAAAGACAUCUUCAAAAUCCUGCAAAAGAGAAGAAAUACUACUUGGCAAAGAAGAAGUUAGUAACUCAGAAUUAAUCAAAGCUUCUUUGUANNNNNNNNNNNNNNNNNNNNNNNNNNNNNNNNNNNNNNNNNNNNNNNNNNNNNNNNNNNNNNNNNNNNNNNNNNNNNUGUAAGUAAGUAGUAUUAUGGGCAACCCCUCUUUUCUUGCAUUUAAACACUCUUUGGCUUUUACAUAGAAACUCUUUUUUUUUCUUUCCUUAGCCUCUUUCCACUCACCAAGACCAUUUUUUUUCCACUCAAACGCUUUUUUAUCUCUUCUCUAAAAUUGCUACUCUCUCUCUCUCUCUCUCUCUCUCUCUCUCUCUCUCUCUCUCUCGGCCAUCUCUCUUUUUUUUCUAAUUCUUGGCCACCUUUAUUUUCUUUUUCCUCAAGCUCACUUUUUAUCCCUCUACUUGUUUUCCCCAUUGUUUCACUCAUAUCUCUUUUGAUAUUCAAACACUUGAGAGGGAGAUGAAGAUGCAUGAGUAAAUUUCCUUCCAUUUAGGUCAAGAGAAUAUCAUUCUUUCUUCCAUUAUGAAAAACAUUCUUGUCAUACUGCCAAGGACGACCGAGUAAUAUAUGACAAGCUUGCAUAGGUACUAUGUCGCAAAGAAUAUCAUCCUCAUAUCUACCAACAUUAAAUGAAAUCAUGCAUUGUUUGUCACCUUUAGUUCACCACUAUCAUUUAACACUCGGUAUCUAUAGAGAUUAGGGUGUUUCAUUCAUGCAAGUCCCAGUUUUUCCACAAAGUAUGAACUCACCACAUUAGCGCAACUACCACUAUCAAUGAUCAUAUAACAACUUUUUCCCUUUAUCCCACACCUAAUAUGGAAUAUGUUCUCUCUUUGUGCUUCACUAUUGCUUCUCAAAUUGAUAGUCAUAAUCCUCCUAACUACCCUAACCAUUCCAUCACUAGGUAGUUCUACAUCAUCUUCAUCACUCACCUCUCCCUCACUUUUUUCACUCUCAUAUCCACCAUCUUCUCUAAGAAUGAUGUUUCUUCUACUUGGACAUUCGUGCAUCAUAUGUCCCCUUCCUUUACAGCUAUGAAAUUGAAUAGAACAAGAAGGUGUAAAAGGAUUAGGGUUAAAGGUUUUACCUUCCUCUUUGUUCUCAAAUUUACCUUUACCCUUGUCUUCUUGAUGUCUAGAAGAACUCUUCAUAUCAUGAUUUGGCCAUGGCUUCUUGGAGAUGAUGCCUGUCCGACCUUUCCAAAAGCAACUCUGUUGUUUUAUUUUGAUUUUCUACUUUUACACACAAAUCAACUAACUCAUCUAUUUCUUAAUAUUGUUGUAAUUAUACUACAUCGGCUAUUUCUGUAUUUAAACCAUUUAAAAAUCUAGCCAUUGUAGCCUCUUCUUCCUCUGUACAAUUAGCUUGGAUCAUAGCUAUAUCCAUAGCCUUAAAGUACUCAUCCACGGACAUGGACCCUNNNNNNNNNNNNNNNNNNNNNNNNNNNNNNNNNNNNNNNNNNNNNNNNNNNNNNNNNNNNNNNAUACUCAUCCACGGACAUGGAUCCUUGCUUCAAUGUUUGAAGACGUUGUUGUAGCUCUCUUUGAAAGUGUGAUGGCACGAAUCUCUUCCUCAUCGCCCUCUUCAUGUCUACCCAAGUAGCAACUGGUGCUUGUCCUUCUUGCAAUCUAUCCCUUGUAUGCUUUUUCCACCAAAUAGCAGCAUAGUCAGAAAACUCAACAACAACAAGUUUAACCUUCUUACCUUCAGAGUAGUUGUGACGGUCAAAGAUAGCUUCAACAUUUCUCUCCCAAUCAAGAUACAAGUCUGGAUCCCUUGUUCCAUUGAAAGAUGGCAUCUUCAUCUUUAUAAUAUGUAUAUUAUCAUCUUCUACUCUACCUUUAUGUCCCCUCCUAUCUCUUCCCACCCUAUCAAAAUCAGUAUCAUUAAAAUUCAUUUAUAAAAUUUUCUUGAUUUACAAUGGGAGCAUGGGGUACAUUUCUCCUAGCUUGGGGGCCUAUCAUUAUUUUCCCUCCUAAGUUCAGCGAUUGUAUCAUUUUGAUCGGCAAUUGUAUCUCUCAUUUCUUGGAGUUGCAAAUUAAAUCUUUCAAAUUGUUGAUGCAUAGCUUGCAAGGUAAAAUCGUUUCUUGCUUUGAUUUUGGGUUCUUGGAGAACCCUUCGUUCUUCAUCACUACCUGUAUGCGACAUCCUUUAAAAAAAAUUGUAUCACACAAAUUAGCUUCUUUUUUUCUCUCUCAGAAUAACAUUUGAACAAGAUACUUUGUAGAUUUAUAGCUACACCCAACUUGUAUGAAGUUCUUAGUAGUAAAAUUCAGAUUUUUUUUUGGGAACGAAUGAAAGAAAAACCAAAUCCUAGAACUAUUAGGCUUGGUUGAAACAAGACACGAACAAAAAGGAAAAGAUAUAAAUAUGUAGAUUAGGAGUAAGAAAAACCUAGGAUACCCUCUUCUUGUUUCCUUUGAUAAGCUUUGGAAAGAAAUUAGAUAGAAACUAUUUUUUUUUGGAGAGCAAACAUUUUUUUUAAAAUUGAUUUUUGCUUUUUUUUUUCUAUGUUUUUAAAUUUUUUUCUUUUGUUUUUAUCUUUGCUCUUAGUAUUCAAGAAAUCCCAAGACUUACCAAGAACGAAAUCUUGAUAGAACCGCUCUGAUACCACUAUAUAACAACUAGGUCGGGAAUCCAAACUAGAAUAAGAAUUUGAGAAGUAAAUAAGGAAGCAAUAACAAGAAGGAAUUGAACAACUAGAAAUAAAUAGAUGAAAAUAAAGGAUAUGAGAAAUUUAGGGAAAGAAUUCCUAGAACUUCCAAGAACGCAAGUUCUAUAGCCUUGACAAGAUCAAAAUAACAACGUCUUAAUACAAGGAAGAAAUCGAUCGCCUUUACUUAAAAAGCAAACCAAAACAGAAGAUUCAGAUCUUGACCGCUUUACGAGUAACUUGAGACAACAAUUAAUAACUAGUAUUAAUCGCCUUCUAGGGAUACCACAAAGGAAUCAAAGAUAUCAUAAAAGAGAAGAAAUCUAACUACGUUGAACUAUGAACUAGUAAAGGUUGAAAGAUAAAUCUCAAAGCACAAGUAACAAAGGUUCAAANNNNNNNNNNNNNNNNNNNNNNNNNNNNNNNNNNNNNNNNNNNNNNNNNNNNNNNNNNNNNNNNNNNNNNNNNNNNNNNNNNNNNNNNNNNNNNNNNNNNNNNNNNNNNNNNNNNNNNNNNNNNNNNNNNNNNNNNNAUAGGAGAGUACUAAGGCAUAAAAGUCCUUAAAAUUAGGGAGGGUGAUUGCUAAGGCAUCCAAAGUCAUUACAAUUAGGUAGGAUGAUUUCUAAGGCAUCCAAAGUCAUAACAAUUAGGUAGGAUGAUUGCUAAGGUAUCAAAAGUCAUUACAAUUAGGUAGGGGGCGGCCAAGACUCUUUGGGGUAUAUUUGGGCCUUCAAACAACUAUUUUGGGCAAUUGGUUUGGACUCCAAUUGGGCUCAUUUUGUAACACUUCCUUUUGGACCUCUUUUAAGCUCAUUUCGAGCCCUUUUGAUGGACUUCAAGGGCUGAUUUGGGUAAUCCAAUCCUCUUCUUCUUGGACUACAAAUUGAGCCACCAAAUAAUUAUAAAACUUAGAUAAUUCUUCUAUCAUUUUGAGCCUCUUUGAUGGACUUCAAGGGCUGAUUUAGGUGAUCCAAUCCUUCUCUUUUUGGACUACAACUUGAGCCACCAAAUAAUUGUAAAGCUUAGAAAAUUCUUGUCCUUUGGGCUUGAGCACUUCGUUUAUAAUUAGAAGCUUCUUUAUUUCCCAUUGAAGUCCAGCAACCUUCGUCUGUAAUUCUUAAGCUUGAGAUCUUUUAAAUGGCCUUCUUGGAGCUUCCAAAACUCUAUCCUUAUCAGUGAUGCAAUCAAAGGGUCCCUCCCUUGAUUAAUGGUAUCCACAACGGAACAUUUUUUAAUAAGAUUGGUUACUCGUAUCUCAUCUUAUGCAUUAUUUUCCUAAUUAGUUUAUUGAUCUGGAGUUAAUUAUGGUUGACUAAGAUUUACCCCUUCAUUUUCUUUAAUUGAUUUGUUCAAAAUGGUUCCAGUAUCUUUUGAGUCAAACAAUUUGGCGCCGUCUGUGGAGAUUUCUUAGUGAAAUUCCCUAGUCUCUUCAAGAUCAAAGACAAGAAACAUGAUUACCAACUAAAAACGGUGCUAAGGAAAAGCCCAACCCAUACAGAGAAAAGACGCAGCAUAGGAGGAGAAAGAUUGCUAAAAGCAGUCACCGAAUUUAGGAAUCAUAGCCCCAUCAACUGUCAAAAUGCGAUGCAAAAUGAGCAAUGUUAUUAACCUACUUUCCUUCAUCGAUCCAUCGGAUGGGGGCAAGAAAAGUAUCAUUUUGACUCACCUCCUGCUCUUUGCUCAAGCAGGAACACAAGUGCUACGCGGGUGAGUGAGCAAAGAAACAUCUCAAUAAGAUAAUAGGAAACUACUACAAGACAGUUGAAACAUCACCUACUGAUGACACCUCCAAGCCGGAAGGCAAGAAUCAAACAAGGAAACUCCAAUAUGUGCACAGAAGUAACAUAUGCGAAACAACAAAGUUUCUUACUCUCCGACAUUACACUCUCCGAUGCAAACAAUAUCAGCCAAACUGGGACUCCCCCAGAGAAUGCACGAUUCUCCAAAAAGCGGAACUGAUGAUGGGUUAAUAUUUCGAUAAGUUCAAAACAACACCCUUUAUGGCCAAGAGUCUUCACCAAGAAGAAGAGUUCGAACUCGAUCAGACGGCGACGGGUUACUAUUUUGAUAAGUUUAAAAUAACACCCUUUAAGGCAAAGGGUCUUCGCCAAAAAGAAGAGUUCGACCUCGAUCGAACGAUGAUGGUUUUAUAUUUCGACAAGCUAGAACUAACACCCUCUAAGGCCAAGGGCCUUCGCCAAAAACAAAAGUGUUCAACCUCGAUCGAACGACGGCAAGUUACUAUUUCGAUAAGUUCGAAAUAAUACCAUUUAAGGCCAAGGGCCUUUUCCUAAAAGAAGAGUUCAAACUCGAUGGAACGACGACGGGUUACUAUUUUGAUAAGUUCAAAAUAACACCCAUUUAGGCCAAGGGCCUUCGCCAAAAAGAAGAAUUUGACCUCGAACGAGUGACGGCGGGUUACUAUUUCGACAAGUUUGAAAUAACACCCUUUAAGGACAAGGGCCCUCUCCAAAAAGUAUAGUUUAGCCCAGAUCGAAUGACAACGGGUUACUAUUUCAAUCAGUUCGAAAUAACACCCUUUAAGGCCAAGAGCUUUCACCAAAAAAAGAGUUCAACCUUAAUCGAAUAAUGAUGGGCUACUAUUUUGACAAGUUCGAAAUACCACACUUUAAGGCCAAGGCCUUCGUAAAAAAUAUGAGUUGUCCUCGAUUGAACAACAACGGGUUAAUAUUUUGAUAAGCUCGAAAUAACACCCUUUAAGGCCAAGGGCCUUUGCCAAAAAAAAAGUGUUCGACCUCGAUCGAGCGACGACGAGUUACUAUUUCGACAAGUUUGAAAUAAUACCCUUUAAGGCCAAUAACCUUCGCCGAAAAGAAAAGUUCGACCUCGAUCAAAUGAAGACGGGUUAGUAUUUCGACAAGUUCAAAACACGACCCUUUAAGGCCAAGGGCAUUCGUCAACAAGAAGUGUUCGACCUCGAUCGAACGACGAUGGGCUACUAUUUUGAUAAGUUCGAAAUAACACUCUUUAAGGCAAAGGAGCUUUGCAAAAAAGAAGAGUUCGACCUUAAUCGAUUGCAAGCCUUGUUUGCUUAUGAACUUUUUUUCAUCACAUCAGCCUUUGUUCUAUCAUCAAGAUUAGCAAUAUUAUUAGUUGGUAAUGGUAAUAAAUCAAGCAGGGUGAAGGGAUUAAAUCCAUAAACAAUCUCAAAAGGUGACAUGCCUGUAGAAGAAUGGAUGGUUCUAUUGUAAGCAAAUUCAAUCAUAGGUGAAUGAUCUUUCCAUGAAGUUAACUUACCUUUCAAAACAGCCCUCAACAUGUUUCCUAAGGUUCUAUUAACUACUUCAGUUUGUCCAUCAGUUUGUGGGUGACAAGAAGUUGAAAACAACAAUUUAGUGCCUAACUUCCCCCAAAAUACACGCCAAAAGUUGAUAAAAAACUUAGCAUCCGUAUCACCAACAAUAGUUCUAGGUAUACCAUGAAAUUUGACAACCUCUUUUACAGAAAGAUUAGCAACAUGUGAAGCAUCAUUAGUCUUUAAACAAGGAUUAAAAUGAGCCAUUUUGGAGAACCUAUUUACCACAACAAAUAUACUAUCCUUACCAUACCUUGUUCUAGGAAACCCUAACACAAAAUCCAUAGAAAUAUCAAUCCAAGGUGAAGUAGGAACAGGUAAUGGCGUGUAAAGACCAUGUGGUAACACUUUAGAUUUAGCUUGUUUACAUUCCAAACACUGUGUGCACAUUCUUUCAACAUCUUUUCUCAUUGCAGGCCAAAUGAAAUUUUCAGCAAGUAUGUCUAAUGUCUAUGGGACUCCAAUGUGCCCCAAAAGGCCUCCACAAUGCGUUUCCCUUACAUAUAUUUCAAGCAAAGAGAAAUUAGGGAUACACAACAUGUUUUCCUUAAACAAAAACCCAUCUUGGAGGUUAAACCUCUCAAAAGGACUCAAGUUACAAUCUGCAAAAAUUUUUCAAAAUCAAAAUCAUUUGCAUAAAGUCCCUUGAUUUGAUUAAAACCUAUCAAUUUAGAAUUCAGGGUAGAAACUAAGACAUACCUUCUUGAAAGUGCAUCAACAACAACAUUCUCUUUCCCUUGUUUGCAAGAAAUUACAUAAGAGAAAGUUUCAAUAAAUUCAACACACUUAGCAUGCCUUCUACUAGGCUUACCUUGACUCUUUAAGUAUUUUAAGAAUUAAUGGUCAAUCUUAAUCACAAACUCUCUUGGCCACAAGUAAUGUUGAUAUGUGGCUAAAGCCCUUACCAAAACAUAUAGCUCUUUGUCAUAAGUAUAAUAGUUAAAUGUGGCUCCACUCAACUUCUUACUUAAGUAGGCAAUAGGUUUAGAAUCUUGCAUUAAAACAUCAUCCAUUCCUUAGCCAGAAGCAUCACAUUCAAUUUCAAAAGAUUUAGAAAAAUCAGGCAAUUGUAACAAUGGAGCAGAGCAUACUUUUUCUUUCAACAAGAUUAAAGCAUCGUCUUGUUCUUUUGCCAUUUAAAAAUCUUAUCCUUUUUGAUAACUUCCGUUAAAGGAGAAGCAAUGGUGCUAAAGUCUCUCAUGAACCUCCAACAAAAACUAGCAAGUCCAUGAAAACUCCUAACUUCAGUUACACUCUUGGGUGUAGGCCAUUCUUUAUUGCUUUGAUUUUAUUUUCAUCAACCUUAACCCCUUUAGAACUAACUACAAAACGCAAGAAAAUCACACGAUCCACACAAAAAGUACAGUUUUUAAGAUUAGCAAAUAAAAGUUGCUUUUUAAGAACUUCAAAAACUUGUUUUAGGUGUUCUACGUGCUCCUCCAAAGUGCUAGAAAAGAUCAAGAUAUCAUUAAUGUACACCACAACAAAUUUCCCAUGAAAAUCCUUAAAGAUAUGACUCAUUAACCUUAUAAAAAUGCUAGGUGCAUUAGUCAAGCCAAAAGGCAUAACUAACCAUUCAUAAAUCCCAAAUUUGGUCUUACAAGCAGUUUUCCAUUAAUCUUCAGGAUUCAUUCGAAUCUGAUGGUGACCACUUUUUAGAUCAAUUUUAGUAAAGAUCUUGGAUCCAUGUAAUCGAUCCAACAUGUCAUCAAGACGAGGAAUACGAUGAAGAUACUUUAUCGUUAUCUUGUUGAUUGCUCUACAAUCUACAAACAUCUUCCAAGUUCCAUCCUUUUUGAGUACCAAUAGGACGGGAACAGAGCAAGGGCUCAUGCUCUCUCUCACAAAGCCUUUCUCAAGUAACUCCUCAACUUGUCUUUGAAGCUCUUUUGUCUCUUCUGGAUUACUCCUAUAAGCAGGCCUAUUUGGGAUUUGUGAUCUAGGCACAAAAUCAAUUUGAUGCAUAAUGCCACGCAAACGUGGAAAUCCAUUAGGAAUAUCUUUAGGAAAGACAUCUUCAAAAUCCUCCAAAAGAGAAGAAAUAAUACUUGGCAAAGAAGAAGUUAGUAACUCAGAAUUAAUCAAAGCUUAUUUGUAAGUAAGUAGUAUUACGGACAACCCAUCUUUUCUUGCAUUUAAACACUCUUUGGCCUUUAUAUAGAAACUAUAUUUUUUCUUUCCUUAGGCUCUUUCCACAUACCAAGACUUUCUUCUUCUUUUUUCCACUCAAACCCUUUUUUAUCUCUUCUCUCAAAUUGCUACUCUCUCUCUCUCUCUCUUUCUCUCGGCCAUCUCUCUUUUUUUUUAAUUCUUGGCCACCUUUCUUUUCUUUUUCCUCAAGCUCACUUUUUAUCCCUCUCCUUGGUUUUCCCAUUGUUUCACUCAUAUCUCUUUUGAUCUUCAAACAGUUGAGAAGGAGAUGAAGGUGCACGAGUAAAUUUCCUGCCAUUUAGGUCAAGAGAAUAUCUAUUCUUUCUUCCAUUAUAAAAAACAUUCUUACUGCCAAGGACGACCGAGUAAUAUAUGAAAAGCUUGCAUAGGUACUAUGUCGCAAAGAAUAUCAUCCUCAUAUCUACCAACAUUAAAUGAAAUCAUGCAUUGUUUGUCACCUUUAGUUCACCACUAUCAUUUAACACUCGGUAUCUAUAGAGAUUAGGGUGUUUCAUUCAUGCAAGUCCCAGUUUUUCCACAAAGUAUGAACUCACCACAUUAGCGCAACUACCACUAUCAAUGAUCAUAUAACAACUUUUUCCCUUUAUCCCACACCUAAUAUGGAAUAUGUUCUCUCUUUGUGCUUCACUAUUGCUUCUCAAAUUGAUAGUCAUAAUCCUCCUAACUACCCGUAUGGAAUAUGUUUUCUCUUUGUGCUUCACUAUUGCUUCUCAAAUUGAUAGUCAUAAUCCUCCUAAUUACCCUAACCAUUCCAUCAUUAGGUAGUUCUACAUCAUAUUCAUCACUCACCUCUCCCUCACUUUUUCACUCUCAUAUCCACCAUCUUCUCUAAGAAUGAUGUUUCUUCUACUUGGACAUUCAUGCAUCAUAUGUCCCCUUCCUUUACAGCUAUUACAUUGAAUAGAAAUAGAAGGUGUAAAAGGUUUAGGGUUAAAGGUUUUACCUUCCUCUUUGUUCUCAAAUUUACCUUUACCCUUGUCUUCUUGAGGUCUAGAAGAACUCUUCAUAUCAUGAUUUGGCCAUGGCUUCUUGGAGAUGGUGCCUGUCCGACCUUUCCAAAAGCAAUUCUGUUUUUUUAUUUUGAUUUUCUACUUUUACGCACAAAUCAACUAACUCAUCUAUUGCUACAUAUUGUUGUAAUUAUACUACAUAGGCUAUUUCCGUAUUUAAACCAUUUAAAAAUCUAGCCAUUGUAGCCUCUUCUUCCUCUGUACAAUUAGCUUGGAUCAUAGCUAUAUCCAUAGCCUUUAAGUACUCAUCCACGGACAUGGACCCUUGCUUUAAUGUUUGAAGACGUUGUUGUAGCUCUCUUUGAAAGUGUGAUGGCACGAAUCUCUUCCUCAUCACCCUAUUCAUCUCAGACCAAGUAGCAACUGGUGCUUUUCCUUCUUGCAAUUUAUCCCUAGUAUGCUUUCUUCAUCUCAGCCCAAGUAGCAACUGGUGCUUGUACUUCUUGCAAUCUAUCCCUUGUAUGCUUUUUCCACCAAAUAGCAGCAUAGUCAGAAAACUCAACAACAACAAGUUUAACCUUCUUACCUUCAGAGUAGUUGUGACGGUCAAAGAUAGCUUCAACAUUUCUCUCCCAAUCAAGAUACAAGUCUGGAUCCCUUGUUCCAUUGAAAGAUGGCAUCUUCAUCUUUAUAAUAUGUAUAUUAUCAUCUUCUACUUUCCCUAUCAAGAUACAAGUCUGGAUCCCUUGUUCCAUUGAAAGACGACAUCUUCAUCUAUAUACUGUGUAUAUUAUCAUCUUCUACUCUACCUUUAUGUCCUCUCCUAUCUCUUCCCACCCUAUCAAAAUAAGUAUCAUUAAAAUCAUUUAUAAAAUUUUCUUGAUUUACAAUGGGAGCAUGGGGUACAUUUCUCCUAGCUUGGGGGGCUAACAUUAUUUUCCCUCCUAAGUUCAGCGAUUGUAUCAUUUUGAUCGGCAAUUGUAUCUCUCAUUUCUUUGAGUUGCAAAUUCAACCUUUCAAAUUGUUGAUGCAUAGCUUGCAAGGUAAAAUUUUUUCUUGCUUUGAUUUUAGCUUCUUGGAGAACCCUUCUUUCCUCAUCUCUACCUGUAUGCGACAUCCUUUAAAAAAACUGUAUCACACAAAUUAGCUUCUUCUUUUUUUCUCUCUCGGAAUAACAUUUGAACAAGAUACUUUGUAGUUUAUAGUUACACCCAACUUGUAUAAAGUUCUUAGUAGUAAAAUUUCUUUUGGGGAACUAAUGAAAGAAAAACCAAAUCCUAGAACUAUUAGGCUUGGUUGAAACAAGACACGAACAAAAAGGGAAAGAUAUAAAUAUGUAGAUUAGGAGUAAGAGAAACCUAGGAUACCCUCUUCUUGUUUCCUUUGAUAACCUUUGGAAAGAAAUUAGAUACAAUUUUUUUUUUGGAGAGCAAGCAUUUUUUUUUAAAAUUGAUUUUUGAUUUUUCUUUUCUGUUUUUUUAAAAUUUUUUCUUUAGUUUUUAUCUUUGCUCUUAGUAUUCAGGAAAUCCCAAGACUUACCAAGAACGAAAUCUUGAUAGAACCGCUCUGAUACCACUUGAUAACAACUAGGUCGCGAAAUCCAAACUAGAAUAAGAAUUUGAGAAGUAAAUGCGGAAGCAAUAACAAUAAGGAAUUUAACAACAAGAAUUAAAUAGAUGAAAAUAAAGGAUAUGAGAAAAUUUAGGGAAAGAAUUCCCAGAACUUCCAAGAACGCAAGUUCUAUAGCCUUGAAAAGAUCAAAGUAACAAGGUCCUAAUUUAUGGAAGAAAUCAAACACCUUUACUUAAAAAGCAAACCAAAACAGAAGAUUCAGAUCUUGAUCGCUUUACGAGUAACUUGAGACAACAAUUAAUAGCUAGUACUAAUCGCCUUCUAAGAAUACCACAAAGGAAUCAAAGAUAUCAUAAAAGAGAAGAAAUCUUACUACCUUGAACUAUGAACUAGAAAAGGUUGAAAGAUAAAUCUCAAAGCACAAGUAACAAAGGUUCAAAAGAACUCUUAGUAUGAUAUACUUAAUCAAUAAUGUUGUGUCUUACGAAUAAGAAGAACUCCCUAUUUAUAGGAGAGUACUAAGGCAUAAAAGUCCUUAAAAUUAGAAAGAGUGAUUGAUAAGGCCUUCAAAGUUAUUACAAUUAGGUAGGAUGAUUGCUAAGGCAUCCAAAGUCAUUACAAUUAGGUUGGAUGAUUUCUAAGGUAUCAAAAAUCAUUACAAUUAGGUAGGGGGCGGCCAAGACCCUUUGGGGGUAUAUUUGGGACUUAAAACAACUAUUUUGGGCAAUUGGUUUGGACUCCAAUUGGGCUUCUUUUGUAACACUUCCUUUUGGACCUCUUUUAAGUUCAUUUUGAGCCUCUUUGAUGGACUCCAAGGGCUGAUUUAGGUGAUCCAAUCCUCCUCUUAUUGGAUUACAACUUGAGCCACCAAAUAAUUGUAAAACUUAGACAAUUCUUGUCCUCUGGGCUUGAGCACUUCGUCUAUAAUUAAAAGCUUCUUUAUUUCCCAUUGAAGUCCAGCAACCUUCGUCUGCAAUUCCUUAGCUUGAGAUCAUGUAAAUGGCCUUCUUGGAGCUUCCAAAACUCUAUCCUUAUCAGUGAUGCAAUCAAAGGGUCCCCUCCGUUGAUUAAUGGUAUCCACAACGGAACAUUUUUAAAUAAGAUUGGUUACUUGUAUCUCAUCUUAUGCAUUAUUUUGCCAAUUAGUUGAUUGAUCUGGAGUUUAUUAUGGUUGACUAAGAUAUACCCCUUCAUUUUCUUUAAUUGAUUUGUUCAAAAUGGUUCCAGUAUAUUUUCAGUGAAACAAUUUGGCGCCGUCUGUGGAUAUUUCUUAGUGAAAUUCCCUAGUCUCUUCAAGAUCAAAGACAAGAAACAUGAUUACCAACUGAAAACGGAGCCAAGGAAAAGCCCAACCCAUACAGAGCAAAGGCGCAACAUACGAGGAGAAAGAGAGCUAAAAACAGUCACCGAAUUUAGGAAUCAUAGCCCCAUAAACCGUCAAAAUGCGAUGCAAAAUGAGCAAUGUUAUUAACCUACUUUCAUUCAUCGAUCCAUCGGAUGGGGGUAAGAAAAGUAUCAUUUUGACUUACCUCAUGCUCUUUGCUCAAGCAGGAACACAAGUGCUACGCGGGUGAGUGAGCAAAGAAACAUCUCAAUAAGAUAAUGGGAAACUACUACAAGACAAUUGAAACAUCGCCUACUGAUGACACCUCCAAGCCGGAAGACAAGAAUCAAACAAGGAAACUCCAAUAUGUGCACAAAAGAAACAUAUGCGAAACAACAAUGUUUCUUACUCUCCGACAUUACACUCUCCGAUGCAAACAAUAUCAGGCAAACUAGGACUCCCCCAGAGAAUGCAUGAUUCUCCAAAAAGCGAAACUGAUGAUGGGUUAAUAUUUCGAUAAGUUCAAAACAACACCCUUUAUGGCCAAGAGUCUUCACCAAGAAGAAGAGUUCUAACUCGAUCAGACGGUGACGAGUUACUAUUUUGAUAAGUUUGAAAUAACACCCUUUAAGGCAAAGGACCUUCUCCAAAAAGAAGAGUUCGACCUCGAUCGAACGAUGAUGGUUUUAUAUUUCGACAAGCUAAAACAACUUCCUCUAAGGCCAAGGGCCUUCGCCAAAAACAAAAGUGUUCAACAUCGAUCUAACGACGACAAGUUACUAUUUCGAUUAGUUUGAAAUAAUACCAUUUAAGGCCAAGGGCCUUUGCCAAAAAGAAGAGUUCAAACUCGAUGGAACGACGACGGGUUACUAUUUUGAUAAGUUCAAAAUAACACCCUUUAAGGCCAAGGGCCUUUGCCAAAAAGAAGAAUUUGACCUCGAACGAGUGACGGCGGGUUACUAUUUCGAUACGUUUGAAAUAACACCCUUUAAGGCCAAGGGCCUUCGCAAAAAAGUAUAGUUUAACCCUGAUCGAAUGACAACGGGUUACUAUUUUUAUCAGUUCGAAAUAACACCCUUUAAGGCCAAGAGCAUUCGCCAAAAAAAAAGAGUUCAACCUCAAUCGAAUAAUGAUGGGCUACUAUUUUGACAGUUCGAAAUACCACACUUUAAGGCCAAGGCCUUCGUCAAAAAGAUGAGUUGUCCUCGAUCGAACAACAACGGGUUAAUAUUUUGAUAAGCUUGAAAUAACACCCUUUAAGGCCAAGGGCCUUUGCCAAAAUAAAACGAGUUCGACCUCGAUCGAGCGAUGACGACUUACUAUUUCGACAAGUUUGAAAUAAUACCCUUUAAGGCCAAUGACCUUAGCCGAAAAGAAGAGUUCGACCUCGAUCAAAUGAAGACGGGUUAGUAAUUCGAAUACGACCCUUUAAGGCCAAGAGAAUUCGUCAAAAAGAAGAGUUCGACAUCGAUCGAACGACGAUGGGCUACUAUUUUGAUAAGUUCGAAACAACACCCUUUAAGGCAAAGGGGCUUCGCAAAAAAGAAGAGUUCGACCUUAAUCGAACGACGAUGUGUCACUAUUUCGACAAGUUCAAAAUAACACCCUUUAAGGCCAAGGGCCUUUGCCAAAAAUAAGAGUUCGACGGUGAUAGAGCGAUGACGGGUUACUAUUUCGAUAAGUUUGAAAUAACACCCUUUAAGGCCAAGGGCCUUCAUCAAAAAGAAGAGUUUGACCUCGACGAGCGAUGACGUAUUACUAUUCUGACGUUCAAAAUAACACCCUUUAAGGCCAAGGGCCUUCACCAAAUAGAAGAGUUCAACCUCGAUCGAACGACGACAAGUACUAUUUUCAUAAGUUUGAAAUAACACCCAUUAAGGCCAAGGGUCUUCACCAAAAAGAAGAGUUCGACCUUGAUCGAAUGAUGACGUGUAGCUAUUUUGACAAGUUUGAAAUAACACCCUUUAAGGCCAAGAGCCUUUGCCAAAAAGAAGAGUUCGACCUCGAUCGAACGACAUGUUACUAUUUUCAUAAGUUCGAAAUAAUACCCUUUAAGGCCAAGAGCCUUCCCCAAAAAGAAGAGUUCGACCUUGAUGGAACAAUGAUGGGCUUAAUAUUCUCAAAAUAUUCUAAAUCACGCUCUCAAGGCCACGAGCCAUCGCCGAAAAUAAAAUUUAAAAUAUUCCUAAGGCCAAGAACCAUCAGAAAAUAUAAAGGGGAAAAAAGAUCGGGACUGACCAUACAAGAAUCUACCUCGCACUAAAGUCACGAAAAGCAAAGACAAAGAUAAAGUGAAAAGCAAAUAACUACAAAAAAUCUUUCUUUAUACAAAGUCAAUACGCAAACAGUCGCAGACUACACAUGGCCCAAGCCAAUAAUAAAAAAGAAAAGAAGAGAAAAGGAGAAAGAAACAACAAUGAUCGACAACGAAUAAAUAAAUAGAAAACAGACAAAGACAACAUUCUUUCACUCGGUGUUAUCACUGCCACCAUCUCCAGGAAGCCCUCCUUCGUCAUCCUAAUCGUUCUCCGGAAUUCUAGAGUCAUAUCCACAGUUCACACGAGCAUAUCGCGUCUUUUCCUUUUCUCUUUCAUAUGCGGCCUCCGUAACAUUACCCGCCUCCCACAAACUCUUGUAUAUAUCCCACUGAGCUUCAGCAUGAUCCCAAAGCUCGUGUAAGCAGCGGGAAACAUCGGUGCAGGAAGACUCAACUUGAACCAAUAGUUCCUCAUUUUCAACCUCCAGAUCGGCGAUCGGAUAUCAUAAGGUCAAUGAUUCCUGGUCGAUCUCAUCAAUGCGUUCCUCAAGCCUCGCCUCCAUUAGCAUGGCUAUCGCUCUCUCCGACUCUUGCUCGGACUGAAGGACAUGGAUAUUGUUCUCCAGGGCCACCGCCCUUGCAUAAGAAGAAGACCAGGCAAUCUCGAUAUUCUUCAACCAGGCAACCUUUCUCUCCAACUCGGACAACUUUCCCAUACACUCCGCGCUCAUCGCCUCGACCUUGAUAAGAUUCUGAUCCAUCUCGGCGCAUUAACCUCAGUCUCCCCUGUAGAUAGUCAGACUCUGUGGCUACCCCCUUGUCUAACUCAAGCUCUUCGUCCUUCACGCGAAGUUGCUCCUCGAUCACACUAUUUCUACAAACGGCCUCCAUCAACUACUGGUCUCUCUUCUCUAAUUCCUUGCCGAGGGAUCGAGCAUCGAGAUUCUCCUCAGCUGCUCAUGCAACUCACAACAAUUGUCACGAUAGCACCAAUAUUUCUCUAACGCCUUCAAGAAAAUCUGCGUCCGAAUGUCAGCCCUAUGAGCACUCUAAAUUUCCAACAUAUACGUCUAAAAAAUUCAAAGAUGUGUUAAGAUCAUAUCAUCCAGAAAAAUAAAUAAAGCCUGAAAGAAAGGUGAAAUAUACUCUCAUGCUCAUAGCAGCCACUUCGUACAUCAAGUUGCUAUCAGGAACGUUCCGGAGAGCCUCGUUCUCGGCAGCGGAGCACAAAAUGUCGAAACGCGGCACCUAUUCCUCUGUGUCCUCCAAGGGAUUAAACCUAGGAUCCCCCCUUUUACUUUUACUUUUGUUUAAUUACUUUAUCCAAAAAUUCCCCUUUUACUUGUGCUAUUCUUCUUUCAAAAUUUCCCACUAGUUUUGUAUUCUUUAUAUGCAUAUUUGCUUGUGUAUUUCCAUGCUUCUUAAAGUCACAUAUAAGCAAGGCCGGGAACCACAUUAGUGGAUCUUGAGGGGUGCCUAACACCUUCCCCUAGAGAAAAUUUCAAGCCAUUACCCGAAUUCAGGUUUUCAUUAAAAUCUUCUUCUUCCUAAAAGUGUCCUAAUGCAGUAUAAUCAUUUGGUGGCGACUCUUCAAACUCCCUAACUCAAUUCCGAAAAGGGAAUAAGAGUUGUUUUGUCCAUAAUAUCGUAAACUCGAUUUCGCCCCUUUUAGGGGGGAGGGGGAAGGGGGCGUCGAUAGGGAACAGGUUUCGGGUCCACCCCAACGCGACUGCAGAAGUCGGUCCAUUCUUUCCCAGGACGAGGCAAGAUCUCGGCUACUGACAUGACCUCCUCAUCUUCCACCACUUCUACUCCUCUGGUGGCCAGAGCAAUUUUUUCGGCACCGGAAUUGUGACAGAGAGAUUAACGCAAGAAGAAUCACCAGCCAUUAUAUCAAUUUGGUGUAGUAAGAAGACAACGGAAAGGAAGGAAGUUAGUUUUCGGUUAACUCGGGCGAGUGAAAAUUUGGAGUAUAACAAAAAAUGUAUAUUCGCAAAACUCUUUCAAGAAAAUGGCAAGGAAGUGUGCCAAUCGAAUGAUGUGUUCCUUCUAUUCAUAAGAGACAUAAAUCCCCCCCAAGCACAAAACCCAAGAGUUGACAAUCGAAUCUGUUUGGGCAAGAAAUGGUUCGAUUCCCAAGGAACGUGUGUCAUAAUGGCGACAACCACAAUACAAUAUUUCAAUCCAAACGAUGUUUCAGUUCCGAAACUGCCGCAACAGUCCAAGAACAUUGAAAGAGUGUCGACACCUCACUUAAAUCUAAGGAGCAUAACCAAGGGAUUGGUAGUUCGAUUUGUAGCAAUCAUGAUCCGUCUGCCUGGCUCGACAGGGGACGAUCCCGACACACAGAGGGAUUCACUGUAUUGGUCAAAAUAUGAUCAUUGUUGUCAAAAUGACCAACAUGCCGUCCAAGCAAUAAGGCAUCGAAAGACGACAUGGCCUAUUCUACAUCCCGUACUCAUGAUACCCUUCGAGUCAGCAGUAACGACGUUCAGGGGACGACCAAGAUAGACAAUGUGAGAAAGCAUUAGACCAAGUACAUUGCAAAGGCUAUGUAGGAGGGGAAAACCUUCAGGAGAAGGGGGUAGUGUUUCACUUCUUCCUCUCCGAUGUAAUCUUCAUAAUGAGAACAAGAACGAAGCACUCUCCAAAGAAAUAUGUAAAAGGCCCCCCUCCAUUGGUUAAUGGGAUCCACAACGGAAAGUUUUUCAAUAAGAUUGGUUACUUAUAUAUCAUCUUCUCUAUUAUUUUUCAAUUAGUUUAUUGAUUUGGAGUUUAUUAUGGUUGACUUAGAUUUACCCCUUUAUUUUGUUUAAUUGAUUUGUUCAAAAUAGUUCCAAUAUCUUUUGAGUCAAACAGAUUAGAAUUUUAAUGAAUGAAUAAGAACAAAUUUGACUGUUUACAAUAUUAAAAGAAAGACAAUAAAUUGGAGAGGUCAACUAGUGUAGACUUUGGCAAAAGGGUGAGGGCCAACGGAGAGGGAUGUAGACUAUUAGCCAAUCUGAGAAAUUAGUUUAUUUUGAGAAGUGAUUUUGAAAAAAGUAAUGUUGGAGAGAAACAGUUUGUGUUUGGCUAAUUAGUUUGAAAAACACUUUUAAGAAAUAGUUUGUGUUUGGCCAAGCUUUUUUGAAAGUGCUUUUAAGUGUCAAAUUACGAAUAAGGACAUUAAUAUAUUUACUUAAUAAUUAAUAUUAUAAGCAAAUAAAUAAUCUCCAAAUUUUGUUAUUACAUGCAAUAAUUUAAAAAAUUAUUUUAUUUAAGUAAAAUACGAAAAUAAAAUUAAACAUUACAUAAUUCUUUUAAUAUAAGUUAAAUACAUUAAAAUUCAUUCAACAAAUAUAAAAGCAUUCAACCCUAAAGUCACUAUAUAUUAGAAAGUUUUCCUAAAAAUAAGAAUAAAUAUUUAUAAAUUAAUAUGUCACGUAUUAGGUUUAAAUGUUAUUUUGGUAUAUACUAUAUUCUGCUAAGGGUAUUUUAGGUAAGAAAAAAAACUAAAAUUGCUUAUGCAGAUGCUUUUCGAAAGAAGCUACUUUUUUCUGCUUCUCUAAAACUACUUCUGUUUCUUCCCAAAAAUACUUUUUUCCCAAAUAAGCUUGGUCAAACACCCCUAGUUAGGAAAAUAAGUACUUUUAAAAAAAAAGUACUUUUGGGCUUUUGAGAAGCGUGGCCAAAAAGACUAUAUAUAUACAUCAGUACCAUGGUGGAGCCUUAAUAUUUUCGUAAUAAAUAAAUGCAUCCAAAUGUAUAUUUUCCUCUACAAAAUUAUAUCAAACUAGUGUUCCCCGCAGAGUUGUGCAAUGAUUUGACACUUUUGGUCAAAUCUAGAGUUUUUUGCCUAUAUUGUCCCUUAUUUUUUUAGAGUAGAUAUAUUUUAGUCUAUCAAAUACAAUUUUGAGCAUAUUUAGUUCCUUAAUUAUGCUAAACAUCAUUAGUCUUACUGAUGCAAUGUAUUCAAAAACUAACGAUAUUGUCACACCUCCUUUUUACACGAAUGACAUUAUUCGACAUGAGAUUAUUUAUUUAUUUCACAGUUUCCACUUGGGAUAGUUUAUUUAGUGUCCCAUGUCAUCGAUUUAUUUUCAAUUUCAAAUCGAGAAAAUUUCGACUUUCCUUUUGAAGUCUGCAAACCAGAAAUUUUAGAUAAGGAAUUCUGUUAAAUCGGGAGAAAGUGUUAGGCAUUCCUGGAUUACGUGGUUCUAGCAUGGACAUUUAGCAAUUUCUACUUGGUUUAAAUUAUUUAACUACUCAUUUUUAAGAGCUAUGCGCAUUUAUCUUUUACUGCUUUUAAUCAAUUGAUUAUUCGUAAUUUACUUUUGGCACGUCAAAAAUCAUGUCACGCGAACAUGUCCACAAUUAAUAACGCUUUGUUUAUUUUAUUAAGAAAAGUUUAGUUGAAAUUGCGCGAACGCAUUCCUCGAGUUACUUUUUAGAAUUAAAUUCGUGAUUAUGUUACAUGAACGCAUACAUAACCAAAAUAAUAGAUUAAAAACAUCUCUGGAAGCAUAUUAACAUAUUCAUAAAUUAAUUUAUCCUAUCUACAUUUGAGAUGUGCCGUGAUGCAAAGAAUUUAUGGAGGUUACGAGGGAAAGGUGUAUUGGGUUGGCUAUUAUAAUACGUGAUAGUAACAUCUCCAUUACAAGUUAUUUACAGGCUAAAAGGCAUUUUGCAAUUAUUAACAUUUAUGGAUCAAAUGGUAAACUAGCCUACGUCAUAUUCAAGCCCAACGGUUCAAAUAAGCGUAAAUCCAAUACCCUUUAAUUCUAGUAAAACCCACACAAUCGAAGCACCUUCUACUGCAAAUUAGCCCAUAUUAAAUUCUUUCAUUCACUCCCACCACUUCAGCAAUGUAAGACGUAACCCAACAACCAAGAAUUUGUCUCAAGAUUUAACGCAAAUGACUAAACUAAUAGUGUAGCCUUCUAUUCAUCAAACUACAAAAUAAAAUAGACUAAUUGCCCAUUUAACAGGCAAAACACACAUUUGAGCACAUAAACAACUGACCAAGAAAAAUAAAAUAUCAAUAAUCAUGCUUUGAAUCACAGCACCCAUGAAACAACUUAAGGAUGAAAUUGAUAAAAGUCAUGGUGAAGAAGGAUAAGAAUGAACCUUUCAGCAAACUUCUUUUGAAAUUUUAUUCAUGAAUAAGCAUGUCAACACAACCCCGAAGCAAAGGUAGCAGCAAACUCGAACCAAAUUGGACUCGUGAAUCUCAAUGGCAACCUCGACGGAAGACACACCAACCCCACCUCCGACGGCCUUGUUCGCAGAUGGUUUCGUGUGGCUGGACGUUGGAGUUUUUCAGCGUUGUAUAUGACUGUUUUUCAGGUGGUUUAGUGGCUGUUUUUGCAGGUUAAAGGUGCUGAAUUUUGGAGGUUUUUGGAGGGUUAAAGAGUGAUGAAAACUAUGGCUUUUCGUAACCGAUUUUUCGAGCUUGAGAUAGCUGUUUUGUGGCUGAUUUUGUCGGUUCGAGGGAGCUUUUUCAUUGUCCUUUUCAGCUUAUUCGGGGCUGUUUUGGAUCUGAUUUUCGUGGCUGGGUUCGGGCUGGUUUUGCCAGUUGUCCGCAGCUUUUGAUGCAAGAGCUGUAGGUUUAUAUUUUAGGUGUAAGUGCUAUAAUAUACGGGUAUGAAUUAGGUUAGAGGUAUGAACUUAGAAAUUAUGG